rnacentral:rRNA from 1 species
UGGGGAAUCUUGCACAAUGGGGGAAACCCUGAUGCAGCGACGCCGCGUGAGCGAUGAAGCCCUUCGGGGUGUAAAGCUCUUUCGACAGGAACGAUUAUGACGGUACCUGGAGAAGAAGCUGCGGCUAACUACGUGCCAGCAGCCGCGGUAAUACGUAGGCAGCAAACGUUGUUCGGAAUUAUUGGGCGUAAAGAGUGUGUAGGCGGCUUUGUUAGUUUGGUGUGAAAUCUCCCGGCUUAACUGGGAGGGUGCGCCGAAUACUGCAGGGCUUGAGUACUGGAGAGGAUAGCGGAAUUCCUGGUGUAGCGGUGAAAUGCGUAGAUAUCAGGAGGAACACCGGCGGUGUAGACGGCUAUCUGGACAGUCACUGACGCUGAGACACGAAAGCGUGGGUAGCAAACAGG